rnacentral:other from 1 species
GUGCCUCUGCGGUGCUUGUAAGCUUACUUAUAAAACCCUUGAGCCUUACUCAUCGACCCCGGGAAUGUGUCUGCCGGUGCUGUGUGCAUUACCGCUUUAUGCGGGAAGCCUUAUACAUCGACGCUAGUUCCCACCUGAACUUCUGGUUCAAGGUUCGUGAGAAAAGCUACGGCAGUUGUGGUAGCACC